AUUGAACGCUGGCGGCAUGCCUUACACAUGCAAGUCGAACGGCAGCACGGGUGCUUGCACCUGGUGGCGAGUGGCGAACGGGUGAGUAAUACAUCGGAACGUACCUUAUCGUGGGGGAUAACGCAGCGAAAGUUGCGCUAAUACCGCAUACGCCCUGAGGGGGAAAGUGGGGGACCGUAAGGCCUCGCGCGAUUAGAGCGGCCGAUGGCUGAUUAGCUAGUUGGUGAGGUAAAGGCCCACCAAGGCAACGAUCAGUAGCAGGUCUGAGAGGAUGAUCCGCCACACUGGAACUGAGAAACGGUCCAGACUCCUACGGGAGGCAGCAGUGGGGAAUUUUGGACAAUGGACGAAAGUCUGAUCCAGCAAUGCCGCGUGAGUGAAGAAGGCCUUCGGGUUGUAAAGCUCUCUUGUCAGUGAAGAAAACUUUAAUAAUAACACUAUUAAAGCAUGACGGUAACUGAAGGAUAAGGACCGGCUAACUACGUGCCAGCCGCCGCAGUAA
rnacentral:rRNA from 1 species